CCGAUUGGCUGGAGAAGGGUUGGAGUCCUGUAACUCAAGGGGAGGAGGCAUGGUCGGUGGCGUAGGUCCGCCCCUUCAUUACACUCCUGAUUUGUGACAGCAGAUUUGUCUACCUAAAAUGAAGAACUGGAAUGAAUGCCAACUAGAAAAAAAGGGAUGGACUGUGCUGAUUAUUCUGCAUUUACUAUUACCUUUAUGGAUCUGUUCUUUGCGCUGAUCUUUACCCCAGAACUACAUCACUUGGUAUCUCUUGCCCUCUGACAUUUUGCUGUUUUCAAUCAAUAAGAGGCAUUACUAUGGGAGAAAAGGAGUAAGAGGGCAAAGUUAUCAGGAAUCUGGAUGUAUGCCUGCACCAUCAAUAACUGCUGAUCAACCGUUUCUUUUGCUACCUUCACAGAAGAGAUGAAGUUCCUGUCAUCUGAGGACAGACCUUGGCAUCAGGAAUGCCAAAAGUCCUGUCCCACCCCUAUUCAGUGGUAUCUUCUCCUGCCCAAAGAUAUACCUCUGCAACAUAACUUAAGGCUAAUAGUCGCAUCCUGUUCUGAAAAAGAGGAAACACUUGAAAUACCAUUCAGAGGUGAUUAAAUACCUGGCUGAAUAAGGGAAAAAGUGUUUUCUCUUUCUCCGUUUUCCCCCUUCCUUCCUUCCUUCCUUCCUGUCCUCUUUCCCUCCUUCCCCCCUUCCUUCCUACCUUCUUUCCUUCUCUUCUCUCUUUCUCUUCAUGAAAACUACAGAAUUGUAAGCAAACACCAGGUAUUAUAAUAACAGGAUCAGAACAACCACAAGCCUUCAAAAAGAGACCUUUCAAUUAUUUUGCAUUAAAAUUUUUUCAGCUUACCAAGA